rnacentral:sRNA from 1 species
CACUAGCCAAGGGUUACGAUCCACUCCUGUUCUCUUCACGAAAGAACAGGAGUGGAUCGUAACCCUUGGCUAGC